UGCGUAACGCGUGGGAACCUGCCUUUUGGUUCGGAAUAACAGUGAGAAAUUACUGCUAAUACCGGAUAAUGUCUUCGGACCAAAGAUUUAUCGCCAUUAGAUGGGCCCGCGUAAGAUUAGCUAGUUGGUGGGGUAAAGGCCUACCAAGGCGACGAUCUUUAGCUGGUCUGAGAGGAUGAUCAGCCACACUGGGACUGAGACACGGCCCAGACUCCUACGGGAGGCAGCAGUGGGGAAUAUUGGACAAUGGGCGAAAGCCUGAUCCAGCAAUGCCGCGUGAGUGAUGAAGGCCUUAGGGUUGUAAAGCUCUUUUACCCGAGAUGAUAAUGACAGUAUCGGGAGAAUAAGCUCCGGCUAACUCCGUGCCAGCAGCCGCGGUAAUACGGAGGGAGCUAGCGUUGUUCGGAAUUACUGGGCGUAAAGCGCACGUAGGCGGCUUUUUAAGUCAGAGGUGAAAUCCCGGGGCUCAACCCCGGAACUGCCUUUGAAACUGGAAAGCUAGAAUCUUGGAGAGGCGAGUGGAAUUCCGAGUGUAGAGGUGAAAUUCGUAGAUAUUCGGAAGAA
rnacentral:rRNA from 1 species